GAUGAACGCUGGCGGCGUGCCUAAUACAUGCAAGUCGAGCGAACAGACGAGGAGCUUGCUCCUCUGACGUUAGCGGCGGACGGGUGAGUAACACGUGGAUAACCUACCUAUAAGACUGGGGUAACUUCGGGAAACCGGAGCUAAUAACGGCUAAUAUAUUCAACCGCAUGGUUCAAUAGUGAAAGACGGUUUUGCUGUCACUUAUAGAUGGAUCCGCGCCGCAUUAGCUAGUUGGUAAGGUAACGGCUUACCAAGGCAACGAUGCGUAGCCGACCUGAGAGGGUGAUCGGCCACACUGGAACUGAGACACGGUCCAGACUCCUACGGGAGGCAGCAGUAGGGAAUCUUGCGCAAUGGGCGAAAGCCUGACGGAGCAACGCCGCGUGAGUGAUGAAGGUCUUCGGAUCGUAAAACUCUGUUAUCAGGGAAGAACAAAUGUGGAAGUAACUAUGCACGUCUUGACGGUACCUAAUCAGAAAGCCACGGCUAACUACGUG
rnacentral:rRNA from 1 species